UACAGAGGGUGCAAGCGUUAAUCGGAAUUACUGGGCGUAAAGCGUACGUAGGUGGAUUGAUAAGUCGGAUGUGAAAGCCCCGGGCUUAACCUGGGAAUUGCAUACGAUACUGUCAAUCUAGAGUCGUGUAGAGGGAAGUGGAAUUUCCGGUGUAGCGGUGAAAUGCGUAGAUAUCGGAAAGAACACCAGUGGCGAAGGCGGCUUCCUGGACACAGACUGACACUGAAGUACGAAAGCGUGGGGAGCAAACAGG
rnacentral:rRNA from 1 species